ensembl:lncRNA
AACAGCUCCAACACUGUUGUUGUGUAUGGGUUAGUGUGUGUGUGAGUGUGUGUGUGUGUGUGUGUGGGCCGAACAGGAAGCGCAGAACAAUUAAACCCGUGUGUGUCGAAGGAGAGAGAGAGCGAAUGAGAGAGAGAGAGAGAGAGAGAGAGAGAGUAAACGUGUCGAAGUUGUUUUGGGGCGUCAGGAGCUAAAAAAAAACCCCACGCACACACCAUUAUAAAUAGUGGCGUGUGAGGAGAGGAUGUGAGCCUUGGUGGAGCUGGAUAUCUAAAGACCGAGCACAUGGACGGGAAAGAAGAGCGCGCGGACGCUCGCGAGUCUUACACCAUGCUCAUGGAGCUGGACGCGAUCGCGCGCAGCCACCGCACACUGCGGCGCGAGCUCUGCAUCAGCCGCCUGGUCAUUCUUUGCCUCCUGAUCACCUGCAUGGUGGUCUGUGGCGUCACGUACAUCCAACAGGUUCCUGGAAGCAAGAAUAAUGAAAACGUGCACAAGGAAAAGGCCAACGGUAAUUCUCCUCCCAUGUCCAUUCCAUAUCAUGUCGCAGUCUUGGCCGCAGGAAUACCGAUUUUAUUUUGUGCAAACAGAGCGGAGAAGUAUGAUUUGUCAUGUAACCGUACAACUGUAAUAACCUCCUAACCGAACGCGCCUCCUUUUAUUUCCCUUUUCCAGAAACAAGGGCAGAAUUCCUAACCGACGGCCAAGAGAACGACAUCGCCGACGCUCAGACGCCCCUCGUGGCUUCCCUGACCCGUAAAUAAACACUUCUUACUCUUUAGACACUAACGCGGGGGUAAAGCGCCGGCGAGAAAUACUCUCCUACAAAAGCACUCGCGUAGAUUUACCGGAGAAGUGUGAAAGACUCGAUAUCUAGCCGAACUCUGAGCUGUGCAUUCAGGAGUCUUUCUCUCAGCCUGCUCGGAUUUUCUUGCUAGCAGCGUCAACUGCUUUGCUAAGUACGUUCCGAUAAUUACGCAAUUAUUUAAGCAAGAAUGACGGAGAUUAGGGUGCAAAGUCUAACGAUCUCGCCGGAUUAAAUAUAUAGCUAAACCCGAUCACUUUAACC